rnacentral:rRNA from 1 species
UAUGAAGGGGGCUAGCGUUGCUCGGAAUCACUGGGCGUAAAGGGUGCGUAGGCGGGUCUUUAAGUCAGGGGUGAAAUCCUGGAGCUCAACUCCAGAACUGCCUUUGAUACUGAGGAUCUUGAGUCCGGGAGAGGUGAGUGGAACUGCGAGUGUAGAGGUGAAAUUCGUAGAUAUUCGCAAGAACACCAGUGGCGAAGGCGGCUCACUGGCCCGGUACUGACGCUGAGGCACGAAAGCGUGGGGAGCAAACAGG